CAAUAGCGUAUAUUAAAGUUGUUGCAGUUAAAAGCUCGUAGUUGGAUUUCUGGUCGCGACAGCCUGAUCUGUUCGCCUGCCUUCGGGCGGUUGCGGACGUGUGUCGGUGCAGUUCGACCAUCCUGCCGGAGAAUGCUCCUUCCCUACACUGGGUUGGGGGCGGGAUCUGGCUCUUUUACUUUGAGAAAAUCAGAGUGUUCAAAGCAGGCGUUACCGCUGUGAAUACAUUAGCAUGGAAUAAUAAGAUAGGACUUUGGUUCUAUUUUGUUGGUUUCUAGGACCGGAGUAAUGAUUGAUAGGGAUAGUUGGGGGUGCUAGUAUUCAGUGGCCAGAGGUGAAAUUCUUGGAUUCACUGAAGACUAACUUAUGCGAAAGCAUUCACCAAGGAUGUCUUCUUUAAUCAAGAACGAAAGUUGGGGGAUCGAAGAUGAUUAGAUACCGU
rnacentral:rRNA from 1 species